rnacentral:rRNA from 1 species
AACGAACGCUGGCGGCAUGCCUAACACAUGCAAGUCGAACGAGACCUUCGGGUCUAGUGGCGCACGGGUGCGUAACGCGUGGGAACCUGCCCUUAGGUUCGGAAUACCUCCCCGAAAGGGGUGCUAAUACCGGAUAAUGUCUUCGGACCAAAGAUUUAUCGCCUUUGGAUGGGCCCGCGUUGGAUUAGCUGGUUGGUAGGGUAAAAGCCUACCAAGGCGACGAUCCAUAGCUGGUCUGAGAGGAUGAUCAGCCACACUGGGACUGCGACACGGCCCAGACUCCUACGGGAGGCAGCAGUGGGGAAUAUUGGACAAUGGGCGCAAGCCUGAUAAAGCAACGCCGCGGGAGUGAUGCAGGCCUUAGGGUUGUAAAGCUCUUUUACCCGGGAUGAUAAUGACAGUACCGGGUGAAUAAGCUCCGGCUAACUCCGUG